CGUGAUUGCCUCAUCCGGGUCCUUUGCGUUCUCUCUCCCUCUCCCAACAUGGCGGCCUCAGCAAAAAAGAAGAAUAAGAAGGGGAAGACCAUCUCCCUAACAGACUUUCUAGCUGAGGAUGGGGGAACUGGUGGAGGAAGCACCUAUGUCCCCAAACCAGUCAGCUGGGCUGAUGAAACAGACGAUCUGGAAGGAGAUGUGUCAACAACUUGGCAUAGUAACGAUGACGAUGUGUACAGGGCACCUCCUAUUGACCGUUCCAUCCUUCCCACUGCUCCACGGGCUGCUCGGGAACCCAAUAUUGAUCGGAGCCGUCUUCCCAAGUCACCACCCUACACUGCUUUCCUAGGGAAUCUGCCCUAUGAUGUGACAGAAGACUCUAUUAAGGAUUUCUUUAGAGGAUUAAAUAUCAGCGCUGUACGCUUACCACGUGAACCCAGCAAUCCAGACAGGUUGAAAGGUUUUGGCUAUGCGGAAUUUGAGGAUCUGGAUUCUCUGCUCAGUGCUCUGAGUCUCAAUGAAGAGUCUCUAGGUAACAGGAGAAUUCGGGUGGAUGUUGCUGAUCAAGCACAGGAUAAAGACAGGGAUGACCGUUCUUUUGGUCGAGAUAGAAAUCGGGAUUCUGACAAGACAGACACAGACUGGAGGGCCCGUCCUGCCACAGACAGCUUUGAUGACUACCCACCUAGACGAGGUGAUGACAGCUUCGGAGACAAGUAUCGAGAUCGUUACGAGUCAGACCGGUAUCGGGAUGGGUAUAGGGACGGAUAUCGGGACGGCCCACGCAGAGACAUGGACCGCUAUGGGGGCCGGGAUCGCUAUGAUGACCGAGGCAGCAGAGACUAUGACCGAGGCUAUGACUCCAGGAUAGGCAGUGGUAGAAGAGCAUUUGGAAGUGGGUACCGGAGGGAUGACGACUACAGAGGAGGUGGGGACCGCUAUGAAGAUCGCUAUGACAGACGGGACGAUCGGUCAUGGAGCUCCAGGGACGAUUACUCUCGGGACGAUUACAGGCGUGAUGACAGAGGUCCCCCCCAAAGACCCAAACUGAAUCUAAAGCCUCGGAGUACUCCUAAAGAAGAUGAUUCCUCUGCUAGCACCUCCCAGUCCAGCCAGCGGCUUCUAUCUUUGGAGGGCGAAGCCUGUUGGACACAGCUGCUAGAGAGAAAGUAGAGGAGCGGCUACAGAAGGAGCAGGAGAAGCUGCAGCGUCAGCUGGAUGAGCCAAAACUAGACCGCCAGCCCCAGGAGAGAUACCCAAGUUGGCAAAGUGAAGAAACUCAGGAAAGAGAACCGUCAAGGACAGGAAGUGAGUCAUCGCAAACUGGGACCUCAGCCACAUCUGGCAGAAGUACACGAAGGAGAAAAAGUGAGAAAUCUCUAGAAAAUGAAAACCUCAAUAAAGAAGAAGACUGUCACUCUCCAACCUCUAAGCCUCCUAAACCUGAUCAGCCUCUAAAGGUAAUGCCAGCCCCUCCACCAAAGGAGAAUAAGUGGGUGAAGCAAAGCUCUAACCCUCCUGCUCGAUCUCAGAGCUCAGACACAGAGCAGCCGUCCCCUACAAGUGGUGGAGGGAAAGUUGCUCCAGCUCAGCCCUCUGAGGAAGGACCAUCAAGGAAAAAUGAAACUAAAGUGGAUGGGGUGAGCGCCCCCAAAGGCCAGACUGGACACUCCAGCCGUGGUCCUGGGGAUGGAGGGAGCAGAGACCACUGGAAGGAGUUGGAUAGGAAGGACGGCAAAAAAGAUCAAGACUCCAGAUCUGCACCUGAGCCAAAGAAAUCUGAGGAGAACCCAGCCUCUAAGUUCAGUUCUGCAAGCAAGUACGCUGCUCUGUCUGUGGACGGUGAGGAUGAGGAUGAGGGAGACGACUGCACUGAGUAGACCUCCACACCCUGUGCUUUCUCCUUGUCUCCACCCUGGAACAUUCAAGAGCAAAUCAAACCUCUAUCCAGACAAGACAAAAUAAACUCACCAUCUCCUGAAGACCUUUCUAAA